rnacentral:rRNA from 1 species
AACGAACGCUGGCGGCAGGCCUAACACAUGCAAGUCGAGCGGUAGAGAGGUGCUUGCAUCUCUUGAGAGCGGCGGACGGGUGAGUAAUGCCUAGGAAUCUGCCUAGUGUGGGGGAUAACGUUCGGAAACGGACGCUAAUACCGCAUACGUCCUACGGGAGAAAGCGGGGGAUCUUCGGACCUCGCGCCAUUAGAUGAGCCUAGGUCGGAUUAGCUAGUUGGUGAGGUAAUGGCUCACCAAGGCGACGAUCCGUAACUGGUCUGAGAGGAUGAUCAGUCACACUGGAACUGAGACACGGUCCAGACUCCUACGGGAGGCAGCAGUGGGGAAUAUUGGACAAU